CGUUUCUAAUUAAUUCCUGCUGAGUGUGUAACAGUUUAAGAGUAUUUGCAUCGUUUUGUUUAGUUCUUUUGGUUAGUUGGUUUUGGUUUCCUUAGUUCUGACAGCAGUGUCAAAUAUCAAGUUACCGCCACAUUGCAGCUCAUUAGAAAUGGAGCACACUAAACCCAUGCUUCACAAGCGCGAAUCUCAUCCAUUUAAAUUUCAGCGGUUAUUUUGGCGAUCAAUCUGGAGAGAAUCCUUUGGUUUAACGAGCUAAGAUAUGUGGCGGAAAUGCACCAUUUUUCAGAUUAAGAUCCACUGUAAACAAAACAAGGCAGCAGCUCACUUAUUUAAAAGGAUUUCACACAGUCCUUACAUUUUAAGAAGAAACCAGUAGUGGUAAUGCUGUGUUUAAAAUGUACACUUGUUACCUGAAGGAGAUAAUAUGUCUGUCUAUGCUGGAUAUUGAUGAUUUCAUCACAGAAAUCUGUCAGCUGAAAAAAGAAGAGACAAAGCUGUUGGAGAGAAACCACAAACCGAACAAAGAGGUUUGUACAGGAUAAAGAAGUAGUGUUUCCAUGUUUAUCUUUGAGGUUUAUUUUUUUUCUUUCUGCUAUCGUAAAUUGAUUCAUUUAUUUGAUUCUCACAAUUCAAACUUCUACCUCAGUUCUUAACUGGUUUUGCUUCAGGAUUUGAUUAAUUAUCAGGUAAACCAACAUAGAAUCUGCUACCCUGCUAAGCAUUAAUGCUAAUUUGGUUAUCUGCCAUUUAUUUCUGGUUUGUAUUUUGAGGAAAACAAGUUAUUUCACAUCCUGCUCAAUGUUCUCCUUUAAGCAUGUGCAAAUGUGAAAAUUACAUGCUCUGAAAACAGCUGACUUUGUAUUUGUUCACCUACUGAUAACAAUGUGGGCAUUGAGAUCAUCAUGGAUGGGGCAGGACCUUGUAUGGGUGGAGACGCCAAAAUGAAGAACAAAAGCUCAAAAUCUCCUGUAUGAGGUGAUUGCCUUGCAUCACCUGUGUCGGGGCUAAAAAAAGUAGCACUAGAACAACGGUACUGCAAUUAAAAAAUGUCCAUUUCCCGCAGAUCCCUAAUAUAUCUGCACAUAGACGGAUCCACACUGAUAGAAGUGGCUUUCAAACGCUCCUGUGUGUUUCUGUGUGAGUGCUUUGUGAAGGUGCGUGAAGCGAUGAUCAUUGUAGCCAAUCAAAGUCAUAUCUGUUGAGCACAUGAACACUAUGGCCAAUCAGCUGUGUUUAAGAAUCCGCUUAACAGCGCUCAAAUGUUAGCGGGAAAUGGAUGUUUUUAAAAUGGCAGUACCAACUGAAACAGAAGACUACAGUUGACAGCCAACUAGCGUGUAUGCUCUGCACUUGUGUGAGAGAACAUAAUUCUCAUAUACCAUAAUACUAAUACAUAAUUCUCUUUUUUCCUUUCUCUAUCUAUCUAUCUAUUGACAAACAGUUGAUAUAUCGGGGAAAUAUUUUACUUUACCAGUAAUGGCAACUAUAUAUUUAUUUAUUUUUAUUGUUAUUUUUUGCAUUGGCAGAUAAUCAAUUGGCAUAAACUAUAAUAGACCCUUUUAGGGCUACGUCACAGCGCUAGCUGGAGGCAAAAAAAAGCAAAAACUGGAGGUGGCCAAUUCAAGCCAGUACAGAUUUGGCUACAUAAGGAGCUUAAAGUAUCAUCUUGUUGUGAUGUUCGGGGCCAGAAUCGAUGUAGGAGAGGCUCCAAUUUGAAAUUAUAACACACAAACUUUUGUCAACUAUUAUUAAGCAUCGCAAUAUUUAAAAAUGUUGUUUAAUAUGUUGUUCAGUUUUACUUAAAAGGUUAUGCGUCACAACUCGAGGGAAGCACGGGAACCAGGAAACGAGGAAUUCACAAAAGGAGAGUAUUUAAUUCAAACGGGAACACAGAUCACAGGCAGGGUAGACACUCAAAGACCGACAAACAUGAACUGAAUGGACUGGGGCUUAUAAAGACAGGGAAAUCAGGGGAUAACAAGACACACCUGGAGCAAAUUAACACAAUCAGACUGGGGAGAAACUGGGUCACAGGGAACACAUGGGGAGCAAAAACACAACAAAACAGUCCAGGGGCGUGACAUUAUGCUACUUUGGUUGAUUAGGCUGUUGUUCAUUACAUGAUACAUUAAUUGUAAUAAGUUAGGUGUUAAAAAAUUUGUUCAAGCUUGACGCCUUUAUUUUCUAAUACAUAUUUCUGAAAUUCCCACAAGGAUUUCAACCUCAUAUCUGGAAAAAAAACAACUUGUGUUUACUUGUUUAAAUUCAAACAUCACACUGACUAAACCUGAUUGGGAGCCAUUGAAUGGCUCUGAUUGGUUCGUGUGAUAAUGAGCUCGCACCAGAGAGCUUUGUAUAUAAAAUAUGAUGUGCAUGCAAAUGUCUCUUGAAUGUGAAUAUAAGUUUAAAUGUAAACAGUAUUAUAUAGAGUGAUCGUGUCUCUUUAGGCCGCUUGGAGGAAACCACACAAUUCAUAUGGAUUACUUUGGCGAUGUUUUUUUGCGAUUUCAACUUUUAGAAACGUGAACAUCUUUGGUGAACCUGCUUUCAUUGGAGGGACAUAAAUCUCUCAGAUUUCAUUAAAAUAUCUAAGAUUUUCUUUCGAAGAUGAAUGAAAAUCUUAGAUGGUUUGGAGUAUCUUAAGGCUUCUGCGAGCGUGUAUGGCGUCUGGCUGUUGGAACCUCACUGUGACUUCAGAUAAGAACAAAGAUUAAAUUGUAAGAAGGGUUGCUUAUAAGAGCAUAUACUACAUCUGAAACUGCUGAGACUGGAAAGGUUUUUAACUAUAUUACCGACCAGAUCAGCUGCUAUAGAAGACAAACUGAAAUCUGAGUGCAGAGACAAGCAAAGGAAUACUGCAAGACUCUUGUGCAAAAUAUUGUAUUCCAGGACAACUAGGCUGUGCCCAGGUCUCUGGAACCUGCGACGACGCUCAGCUCCAUCGGCCCUCUGUCUGUGCCUUCGGGUCCACCAGCUCUGUCUCCAUCGGUCGGCCCCCAGAUGUCAGCAGCCACACCAUCUACAUCUUGGCUCCUCCCUCCCUCGACUCUGCUGUGUUGUGAGCACUGGGAUGCUCUGGGUCUGUACUAUGUGCCAAACACCAUCUAAGCCGCCAGGGCAUCAUGGUCAUCCUCCCAUCACCAUCCCUUCACCACAUCCUGCCAUCAUCCUCGCUCUUUUGUCUUUCACCAUCCCUACGCCAUCUCCUCGUCCACCUCCAAAACCCCCUCCAUCCCUCCCUAUUCUGUUGCUUGAACUUUAUCAUCUUCAGUCUUUGCACACACACACACACACACACACACACACACACAGCUAUUCACUUCUGCACAUUGUUUUUCAGUACAUUUUAAUGUAUUUUUUUUCUUCAGAAAAUGGCAUUGUAAUUUUUAUUUAUUCAUUGAUGUAAAAUUCUGUACUUUUUAGUAAAACCGGUAUUACUGAAAUGUUCUACAAAUGGAAAAGAUAGCUCUGCCAUAGCAUUUCAGUCUUUUUUUAUUUAUUAUGUUUUUGUAUAAUGUAUUAAAAUGUACUUGAGUAUGUUUGUAGUAAUACAAAUAUACUAUAAACAUACUUGUAUUUCAAGUGCAUUUUUAAUACAUUUAAUAGUAUGUUUUGUUUUGUUUUUCACCAAAGUAUAUAUGCUGCUGUACUUUUUUAAUGUACUUUAUGAAUAUUUGUAGUGUAGACAACAAUAUAUAAUACAUUAAAGUUUUCAUCAGCUAAUAGCUCAGAACCACUGACCUUCUUCUUAGAUCUUACUGAGCUAGAGAGUACAACUGCAGAUGGAAUCAGUAGUAGUACGCUAAUCAACUUCCUGCAGAAACAUGGUCUUGAUGAUGCUUUUCUUAAAGAAUGCCUCGUGGGAUUCUGCUCAGAUGGAGCAUCCCUGCUGAAAAAAGCAAUAGAACCCUGCCCAAAACACAAUAGAAAAUGUAAUGGUUUUAAUGGUUAUAAUGGGAAUUGUAUUGGGUUCAUUGGAAGCUAUAAUGGUGUCUACUGGUAUGUGAUGGAAAAAUGCCCAAAACACACUACAAAAAAGAAUUUUGUAAUGGUUUUACUGGAAAAAGCUAAUGGUUUAUAAUGGUAUUUUAAUGGAAACCAUUGGAAUUUCUGUGAUGGUUUCUAUUGGGCUUCUAUUGUUUUUUUGUUUUUUUUAACAGGGAUGUGUAAUGGUAGGGAAAAAAAUGGAUUAUACACGAAACUGAAAAGUAUGUUCCUGCUUUCCUGUAGCUCAAAUAGUAGAGCAUGGCGCUAGCAACGCCAAGAUCAUGGGUUCGAUUCCCAGGGAAAGCAAGAGCUGAUCAAAUGUAAAAACUGUAACUUAAAUGCAAUGUAAGUCGCUUUGGAUAAAAGCGUCUGCUAAAUGCAUAAAUGUAAAUGUAAAUGUUCCCAGGACUUAUUGGCUGGCAAUGUCUUAAACCAUAGGCUGGAGUUGUCCGUAUCAGAUGCACUAAAACAUUGCACAGAGACCAACCAUUUCACAGAUUUCCUUGACAAGUUAUACUGUUUGUAUAAUUAGUCACCAAAAAACCUAAGAGAGCUUGAUGCUGUAGUCUCUGAAUUAGGUGUAUGCCAAUGGUCCAUUCCAUAAAACUGCUUGUGUGGCUGUGCAACAAGGUGCUUUUAAUGGCAUAACACUACAAAGUGAUAGCAGGCGGAAAGUAGUAGAUCCCACAAUGUUCUAUGAAGCACUAUGCAAAAGCAUGUAAACAAGGAUGGUCACAAAUGAAGAGGAAUGGCUCUUUCAUAAAAUCAGUGUUGGAUAAAAACACAUGGCCAGGGCCUUUACCUUUAAUGUAUGGGGGAAAAUGAAGUGAGAUAACUGUGUGAUCUUUUGAAAAUAGGAAUACAGUUGUCACCAUUAUGUUCAAAACUGAAAAUUGAAAAUGUCUCUGCUCUAAUGUUCAUUAAAAUGGUUGAACCUCCUCUUACCUCUUGGGAUCCUACAAAAUAUGUUGGGUAGCUAGCAGAAGAUCUGCAGAGCAUUUAGCUUGUAGGCAGAGAUGUAACAACAUACAAGCUUCCCCAUAUCAGCCCAUCUGGAUCUGAUGAAUUAACUUCACACUUUUCCAGUUUUGUGCAUUUUUGUUUUAUAUGCUAAAUUUAGCGUUUUCUUUGUGACGGACUUAAAUGUAGUGAGUUGAGCAUAUUUUAAAGUUAUGAAAUUUGUUGAACUCCCUUUGAUGGAAUUGUGUAAUUUGUGUAUUGCAAUGUUGUUAGAUGUAACUCAGUUCAUCUGAGAUCUGUAGAAUUACCCAGUAAUGAGUCAUACAUUUUGAAGUUAUGGAAUUUGAUGGACUCCCUUUGAUGAAAUGAUAUAAAACUUGCUGUUGACUAUAACUUAAUUACAGUUUAGUCUUCCUA